UACGUAGGGUGCGAGCGUUAAUCGGAAUUACUGGGCGUAAAGCGUGCGCAGGCGGUUCGCCAAGUCAGGUGUGAAAUCCCCGGGCUUAACCUGGGAAUUGCGCUUGAAACUAGCGGGCUUGAGUGUGGCAGAGGGGGUGGGAAUUCCACGUGUAGCAGUGAAAUGCGUAGAGAUGUGGAGGAACACCGAUGGCGAAGGCGGCACUCUGGGCCGGUACUGACGCUGAGGAGCGAAAGCGUGGGUAGCAAACAGG
rnacentral:rRNA from 1 species